AUUGAACGCUGGCGGCAGGCCUAACACAUGCAAGUCGAGCGGAUGAAGGGAGCUUGCUCCUGGAUUCAGCGGCGGACGGGUGAGUAAUGCCUAGGAAUCUGCCUGGUAGUGGGGGAUAACGUCCGGAAACGGGCGCUAAUACCGCAUACGUCCUGAGGGAGAAAGUGGGGGAUCUUCGGACCUCACGCUAUCAGAUGAGCCUAGGUCGGACUAGCUAGUUGGUGGGGUAAAGGCCUACCAAGGCGACGAUCCGUAACUGAUCUGAGAGGAUGAUCAGUCACACUGGAACUGAGACACGGUCCAGACUCCUACGGGAGGCAGCAGUGGGGAAUAUUGGGCAAUGGGCGAAAGCCUGAUCCAGCCAUGCCGCGUGUGUGAAGAAGGUCUUCGGAUUGUAAAGCACUUUAAGUUGGGAGGAAGGGCAGUAAGUUAAUACCUUGCUGUUUUGACGUUACCAACAGAAUAAGCACCGGCUAACUUCGUG
rnacentral:rRNA from 1 species